rnacentral:lncRNA from 1 species
CAGGAUGUCCCCAAUCCAGACUCCGAGGCUGUCACGGAGAAGCCAGCUCGCCAUCUUGCUGCGUAAAACCGAGCAGCUUCGCGGUGAUGGUGGCGAUAACAUUUGGGUUAUCUACGUCUUAAAAAGAGUCUUGCCUCCAGACGUGAGUUCCUGGGACGUUGUUCAUAAUACUUCCGACC